GUGCUCACUGUGGCAGUGCAUAUACUAAAACUGGAAUGCUGCAGAAAUUAGCAUGGCUCCUGCACAACGAUGACAUGCAGAUUCGUGAAGUGUUCCAUAUUUUU